rnacentral:lncRNA from 1 species
AAAGCAAACCAAAACCCUUACUGUCUGAGAGAAAUUGGGAUAGAACAUCGUAGAGAGAAAGCAAGAAGAGAGAUAUACCUGACUCUGGUUUAAGCGUCGAACGAACUCUUUCUCUCUCUCUGCAAACAAUUUUAACUGAAAAAAAAAUCCAAAUUAUGAGCACCGAUUAUCAAUCAAAUACCAAAAUGAAGUGUAAAUCACAAACUCAAUUCUCAAUAAUCAAUUCCUUGAUUCGGAUACAAAAUUUUCAUCAUUCUCUUAUCUGUUUUCCUUUGUUUUGUGAGUUUUAACCUCAAAUGGGAUUACACAAAAAACAUAACCUUCUCAGAAAACUGCAGCCAUUUUUACAAAUUUCCGUGAGCCAACACAGGAAAAUGAAAAUGACAAAGCCACAUAGUAGGAGGCAGACAAAAGAAAUCAAAGAACCGAACACUCUCUUCAUUAGCAAAAGCGUUUGAGAAAUCAAACGAAAAUAAGCCAAAUACCCCUCUUCCUCAAAUCCCGAUGGCCCCCAUGCUUUUCUCUGACUGUACCCCCUCUCCCACUCAUGAAAUCGAGGAUCUGCAGCAAUGGCGCUGAGAUCCCCACUCCUCUCUCUCUCUCUUUCUCUCUCUCUCUCUCUCUCUCUCUCAGAUGCGGCAUGGCCUCCCAUCCCCGAAACCCUCACUGAACGAAGAACGAAGAGGUGGGGGCAAUUUUGUACAAAUCAGAUCAGGAAACACUAUGCACAGUAUAUGCACCAAAUACCUAGUAAUGAGAUAUUUAGCAUGUGAUAUCUUUCGAACCACACAAUAUAUGCACCACAUCCCCAUCCUAUUCAAUUCGAU